AUCCGGGAAUAUUAACAACUCAUAAGUCUUUCCGGCUGCCACGAGCGCAUUAAUAAGCCUAGCCGUGUGCCUAAAAUGCACAUUUUCAUCAAUCAUGCCAUGCACGAGUAACAGCUUCCCUUUGAUCUUGGCUACAUGGUGCAUUACAGAGCUCUCGCGAUAGCCUGAUGGAUUUUCGGAUGGUAGGCCCAUGUACUUUUCUGUGUAAAAUGUAUCAUAUCCGUCCCACGAUGUUACAGGGGCACCAGACACAGCACAUUUGAAUACCUCAGGUUUACAUGGUGCAUUACAGAGCUCUCUCGAUAGCCUGAUGGAUUUUCGGAUGGUAGGCCCAUAUACUUUUCUGUGUAGAAUGUAUCAUAUCCGUCCCACGAUGUUACAGGGGCACCAGACACAGCACAUUUGAAUACCUCAGGAAACCUUGCCAAUGUCAUAGCCGAGAGAUACCCACCGUAGCUCCAUCCAUACAAUCCGAUGUGGCCUUGUUUUGCGAGCCCUUGUUUCAGGAGCCACUCAGCUCCUGUCAGUUGAUCCUCAGCAUCAUCUAGGUUUUGCGAGCCCUUGUUUCAGGAGCCACUCAGCUCCUGUCAGUUGAUCCUCAGCAUCAACGAGGCCACAGUUAUAUUUGAGUGCACCCUCGAACACGAAUCCUCGUCGAGCACUGCCUCUGUUGUCCAUCUGUAAAAAGCUCAGCAAGUAGGUUCAGAAUUUCUUUGCUUUUAUUGGGUUUAUUCUCUGUAUUUUCUAUGUUAGUCCAAAAUGAAUUCUUAUAAGGAAAACUAAAAGGCAGUGUCAUGUGCUUAGAUAAAAACCACAGAAAACUCAAUUUAGGUAAUCCAGAGAAGAGAAGGACAAUGGUCUCCAUAAGAAGAAAGUCAUGUACAUAAAAGGGCAGCUGAGUGCACGAAGCAUCCAGCGUUUACGCAUGGUCCGAGGAAGGGCCGCACCCCAUGAGGGUGGGUUGUAGCCAGCCUACCCUGGUGCAAGCGUUGCCCCAAGGCUCCCCUUCGAUAUGGCCAAGUACAACUGAAUGAAUUUAGAUUAAAAAGGGCAUAUAGAUAGUACAGGAAAGAGGAGCAAACCUUCCAAACUAAGAUGCCUUUGCUUCUUAGAUACUGAGCUCUCAUGUCGACAGUGUUCGUCCACGAGUCACACACAAGCUGUACACUUGGACCACCAUAGACUUCAAUCAUAGUUCUGUAUGGAGGAGCUCCAAACUUCAUUGGAUCCGGUUUGUAUAAUUGCCCAUAUAAAGCAGUUCCAUCCUGGGCCUGUAUCUGAAUUAUUUCUGGAGAUUCAAGAUGGAGUUUUCUGAAUUGCGGAACACUGACUGGUUGAUCAAAUAGAUGCAUAAUUAAGCUUCCAUCAUGCAAGGAGCAGAGUGAAGGUAUGGAGGAGGUCCAAACUUCACUGGAUCCGGCUUGUAUAAUUGCCCAUAUAAAGCAGUUCCAUCCUGGGCCUGUAUCUGAAUUAUUUCUGGAGAUUCAAGAUGGAGUUUUCUGAACCGUGGAACGCUGACU
rnacentral:lncRNA from 1 species